rnacentral:misc_RNA from 1 species
UACUGAUGUAAUUGCCUCUUUGUUUUUGUAAGAUAUUGACAUUAAAUGGUUACCCUUUUAAUCUAUUAUCAUGAUUAUUAAAAAAUUCAGGUUUUAAUAAUAGUUUUUUAGCUGGUCAUUCUCUUAUUAACUAGAGAUUAGAUAUAAGAGAUGGUGAAAGGGACAUAAUUUAAGGGAAAGUAGUAACUCUAUCAACUCAAUUCCAAGCCUUUCAUUACAAAGCGUCCAAUAAUUGAAAAGGGAAGUGAUUGAAUUAAAGAAUCAAGGGAAAGAGAUUACAACAUUUCCAAAAGCCAGAAGACAAAGUUUGGAGUAGGAAAAUUUUUGGCUUGUAAUUAGAAAACUGAGAAUCUUGGAAGCUAUAAAUGUCUUUCUAAACACAUGGGCUUGGAUCAUUUUGAACCUUGGGGCACAUGCCUGCAUUCAUGUUCAAAUUACAAGUAGGAGUCGAAUGUUGGGUUCCUCUUAUCUGGUUGUUUUAAUGACUGCUUUUAGAGGACUUUUUGUUCGUUAGUAUUCAUACCUGCUCUCCCCUUUCUCUCCUUCCCAUUGGCUAAAAGAGUAAAAGACGCUUUCUUGAUGUUGUUUAUUUGUUUCAGG